rnacentral:rRNA from 1 species
GGGAUCGAAGGGGGAAAGAGGGGUGUGCGCGGCGACGAGAGAAGGGGUAGGUGUGGGCUGCGGUGGCAGCGGCACGGCAGCAGCAAGCGCGCGUGGCCUUCGAGGGAUGCGGUGGACCCCUGCAGGUCCUCCUGGCGGUGAGAGAGGAAGCAGGCAGGGCCCCCGGUCGAGUUCGAUCCUGUGGCGCAUCGGAGCGGUAGCGGAGAAGAAGGGCGGUGCCAGCAGCGCGCAGGGGCGGUAGCUAGAGGUGGUGGCCCGGAGGGGCCGGUAGAGCUCGAGCAGAUGCUGGAGGGCUGAUGCUCUGACUGCGGCGACGACGGGGCUAGCUGAUGCAACAACUGCUGGGGAAGAACGGUCUCGUUGGUCCGUUCGGGGGGG